rnacentral:piRNA from 1 species
UCUUCUCGGAGCUGCUGUCCAACCUGUA